UACGAAGGGGGCUAGCGUUGCUCGGAAUCACUGGGCGUAAAGGGUGCGUAGGCGGGGCUUUAAGUCAGGGGUGAAAUCCUGGAGCUCAACUCCAGAACUGCCUUUGAUACUGGCGAUCUUGAGUCCGGGAGAGGUGAGUGGAACUGCGAGUGUAGAGGUGAAAUUCGUAGAUAUUCGCAAGAACACCAGUGGCGAAGGCGGCUCACUGGCCCGGUACUGACGCUGAGGUGCGAAAGCGUGGGGAGCAAACAGG
rnacentral:rRNA from 1 species